AAUCUGAAGGCUCAGUAGAGCCAUCAUGAGCGAUGUUACAAUUGUGAAAGAAGGCUGGGUUCAAAAAAGAGGUCGCAAAAGGUGAUCACAUGACUCCAGGAUACUACAACCAUCAUAAAUAUGAGUCAGUUGCCAAGCGUCUGAAUUCUGAUCACAUGACCAUGGAAAUGCUGCAACGGUCGGGAAUACAUAAAAAAUUGGAGGCCAAGAUACUUCUUAUUGAAGACAGAUGGCUCCUUCAUAGGAUAUAAGGAGAAGCCGCAAGAUGUGGAUCUACCAUAUCCUCUUAACAACUUUUCAGUAGCAAUUUCAGGCCCAGCUGAAGAGGUCUUACGGCCGGAGGACAAAAGAGCGGGGCGAAGUCUCAUAAAAGGACAUCAGGCUUCUUCCUGGUCGGUACAAGCUUCCUCUGCGGCCUCUUUCUUCAACUGCGCUACCAUCCUGUGGCUGAAACAACUCCAGGAGAGAAUUCCAGCCACUGAUCAUAGGUCUCACCAGGACUUAAACAAAAUUUUAGCAGCGGUGGAAUUCUCUGCAGAUGCCACCCUCAAUGCAGCUCGUUUUUCUGCUAAAGCUAUCGGUUCCUCUAUUACAUCAAGGCGUCUCCUCUGGCUCAAAAAUUGGCAGGCAGAUCAAAGAGCCAAAUGGCGCCUAGCUUCUUCUCCUUUCCAGGGUGACAAGUUGUUUGGGGCUCCUCUAGAACCCCUCCUGGUGGAGACUAAAGACCAUCGUAAAAUCUUACCAUCUAUUUCUAGGAGGUUGGAGAUCCACCCACAGACUUCCUUUCGUUCGGGAUCCUUUCGGGCCCACAAUUCCAGCUUCUACCAACAACGUUCCUCUCGGUCAUUUCAUCCACGAGGAUCUCAACAACAGGACUCUCAGGUCAGACAGGGGUACAGGUUCUCCUCCAGGAGACCAUUCAGAGGAUCCAGAGGCCGGCCUUUUCGCCGGGCCCGUUAAUUCUCCUCCUGAUUCUAGGAUUGGGGGCAGGUUAUCCUUUUUUGCUGACAUAUGGGAUAACACAGUUUAAGAUUCUUGGGUUAAAGAUACUAUUAGAUUCGGCCUAGCUCUUGAGUUCCGCUCCAACCCCCCCCCAAUUGUUUUCUGAGCUGUCCUUUGUCCUUGGAUAGAGCCAAACGUGCUCGUGUUACGGCCGCCAUUGAACACCUUUUGUUAAUAAAAGUCCAUCCAACCCGUUCCUUCCCUUCAGCGAGGUCAGGGAUUCUAUUCCUGUUUAUUCCUAGUGCAGAAACCUUCAGGGGAUUGGAGGGCUAUUCUAGAUUUAAAAUCCUUGAACCGGUAUAUAAUUUACCGCCGGUUCAAGAUGCAAUCUCUCCACACUAUUAGCAAUUAGAGAGGGAGAUUUUAUGUCCUCUAUUGAUUUAACGGAAGCUUACUUACACAUUCCUAUUCUUCCUGCCCAUCGUAGAUUUCUCAGGUUCUGUUACAGUGGUAAACAUUACCAGUACAAAGCCCUUCCAUUUGGUUUAUCCUCAGCACCUAGGGUGUUUACAAAAAUUAUGGUGGCCCUUAUUUCUCACAUUUCCUCCAUCCCGGUCAGGAUUCUUUUUUACUUUUUUACCGAUUUUAGCUUCAGGCUCGUCAGGAUGUGGCCACAUCUCUCGAUAUCCUAAGGACUCAUGGGUUUUUCCAUUAACUGGAAGAAGAGUCACUUAACUCCUUCUACCCGUCUUCAGCACCUAGGGUCUAUAAUCGAUACGGUGUCAGCUAAGGUUUUCCUAUCACAGGAUCAGCAAGAUAGCCUCUGUGAUAUGGCCCGUAGGUUUGUUCACUCCAGGUCAGCUUCCCUACUGAGCUUGUCUAGCCUUCUAGGCAAGAUGAUGUCCUGUUAUGGUAUUGUACCCUGGUCUCGUCUUCACAGCAGGGAGUUGCAGUGGCUUCUUCUACCCUACCAGCGGAACCUCAACAGCCCCUCAACCUCCAUCCUACAUCUGACCAUCAACGCCGUCGAGUCUCUCAAAUGGUGGACACCAGAGAAUGUUUCUAAGGGCUGCUUAUUCCUGGAACCACAACGGUUAGUCAUAAUGACGGACGCCAGCCUAGUAGGUUGGGGAGCUCAUCUGGAGACGCACAUGAUUCAAGGCAGGUGGUCCCCUCCAGAAUGUGAUCUCAACAUCAAUCUCCUAGAACUCAGGGCGAUCUUUCUCGCUCUUCAGGGAUUCCUGGCCCAGAUCCAGGGCAGAGAUGUCCUAGUCCUCAUGGACAACAUCACUGCCAAAGCACACAUAAACAGGCAGGGAGGGACCCGUUCCCGAGCUCUCCUCCAGGAGUCUCUUCGGCUGGGGACCUGGGCUGAGUCCCACCUAAUUUUUCUCAGAGCAGAACACAUUUCAGGGGUAUCCAAUAUCCAAGCGGACUCUCUCAGCCGCAAUUCAAUCGACCUGGCAGAGUGGAGCCUACACCCUCAUCUAUUCCAGGAGCUUUCCAGAAGGUUCGGCCAUCCUCAGGUGGACCUGUUCGCCUCAGCAGUCAACCAUCAACUACCCCGUUUCUUUUCACGUUUCCCAGCUCAGGGAGCAGAAACAGUAGAUGCCUUACGCAGCCCAUGGCCAAAGGGAAUCCUUCUCUACGCCUUUCCUCUGUUCCUUCUGGUAGCCAAGGUAGUCCGGAAACUCAUCAGGGAGGGAGCAGAACUGUUACUGGUGGCCCCCCAUUGGCCUCGCCAUCCUUGGUUCGCAGACCUAGUGUCCCUGUCGGUGGCCCCUCCCUGGCGGAUUCCCGACAGUCAGGUGUCUCUGCUACAAGGACAGCUAGUUCAUCCAGAUCCACAGUCCUUCCAGCUAGCCGUCUGGAUAUUGAACGGUUCCUCUUGACGGAGGCUCAAGUUCCCCCGGAUGUCAUCACAACCAUUCAGGCCUCUCGAUGUGGAUCUACGACUCCUAUUUACGACGCCACCUGGACUGCUUUCUCCAAAUGGUGUAGGCGACGCAAUAUUGUUCCCACAUCAGCAUCAGUUGUUCAGAUCCUUGGCUUCCUACAAGACAGUUUCUCCUCAGGUCUCUCUCCGAAUACUCUACGACGCCAGGUAUCAGCAAUUUCUUCUGUGCUGUCUUACUCAUCGGCUGUAUCGCUGUCUAAGGAUCCUUUGAUUCGCAGUUUUUUGCAUGGAGCUACAAACCUCAGACCUCCAGUCACACACAGGUUCCCUACUUGGGAUCUUCCCAAGGUACUGUCUGCACUCAAUAGGCACCCCUUUGAACCUCUUCGGGAGGUGGACCUCAAAUUUCUGUCUUUCAAGGUCUCUUUCCUGGUGGCCAUAACCUUAGCCCGCAGAAUCUCAGAGUUAGCAGCCCUGUCGGUCCGACAAGAUCUGUGUAUUUUUCAUGCGGACAUGGUGGUCCUGUGUCUGGAUCUGCCAUUUAUUCCCAAGAUCAACUCUGUCUUUCACAGAUCACAGGAACUUGUUCUUCCCAAUUUCUGCCCUUCUCCUCAGCACCGACUGGAACGGGCAUGGCACACUCUAGACGUUUCCAGAGCCCUUAAGAUAUACAUUGCUUGCACAUCUUCUUUCCGUCGCACAGAAGCCCUAUUUGUCGCCUUCCAGCCCUCUUCCAUGGGCGCCAAGUUGUCUUCGGCCAUUGGCCGGUGGAUCAGGGCUACCAUAGCUAUGGCGUAUUCAGUCCAGGCCUUGCCGGUUCCCCGGAAUAUUACAGCACACUCCACAAGGAGCGCGGCCAUAUCGGCGGCCUGGUCCACCAGGCCCCCCCCCUGGAGGAAGUUUGCAGAGCGGCCACCUGGUCCUCUCCUGCUCCGUUCAUCCGGCAUUACUGGUUGGAUACCUACGCCUUGGCUGAUGUGGCAUUUGGAAGGAGAAUGUUGCAAGGAGUACAUCUGGAGACUGCUUCCCAGGUCCGGCCUGAUCCCACCCUAUAGGACAUUGGCUUUGGUAUGUCCCAGGCAUGACUGCUGUGCCCACCGUCAUGAGAAUGGGCGUUGGUCUUACCUGAUAUGCCCUUUCUGUGAUAGGUGGGCACGGCAGUCAGCCCCUCCUGUUGGGCUGUUCCCGGGCAUGGGGGUGGGUGGCAAUCUCAUGUAUGUUCUAAUUUUCCAGACACGACAGUCUGCUGAUCUACCUCAUCUCAAAACUGGACUACACAGGAAGAGGCGGGACUUAAGAACUUUACAGCAGACUCGGUCUCAUUGGAGCAAGGCAGUGUCACUCCCCAGGAAUGACUGCCGUGCCCACCUAUCACAGAAAGGGUGCAUCAGAAUGCCAACUAAUGAAAACAGAGCGACCAAAACCGAACACGUUUAUUAUUCGAUGUCUUCAAUGGACCACUGUGAUAGAAAGAACAUUUCAUGUAGAUACUCCAGAAGAACGGGAAGAAUGGACAGAAGCCAUCCAAGCAGUAGCAGACAGACUUCAGAGGCAAGAAGAGGAAAGAAUGAAUUGCAGCCCAACAUCCCAGAUUGAUAACAUUGGAGAGGAAGAGAUGGAUGCCUCGACAACCCACCAUAAAAGAAAGACAAUGAAUGAUUUUGAUUACUUAAAACUACUUGGCAAAGGCACUUUUGGCAAAGUUAUUCUGGUCCGGGAGAAGGCAAGUGGGAAAUAUUAUGCUAUGAAAAUUUUAAAAAAGGAAGUUAUUAU